rfam:Schistosoma mattheei strain Denwood, Zambia genome assembly, scaffold: SMTD_scaffold0005785
AUACAGAUGAUGAGUCCCGAAUAGGGUGAAACAUGUGUCCUGGAU